rnacentral:rRNA from 1 species
UACGGAGGGUGCAAGCGUUAUCCGGAUUCACUGGGUUUAAAGGGAGCGCAGGCGGGCUGGUAAGUCAGUGGUGAAAUACCCGUGCUUAACAUGGGAACUGCCAUUGAUACUAUUGGUCUUGAAUAUCGUUGAGGUUUGCGGAAUGGGUCAUGUAGCGGUGAAAUGCAUAGAUAUGACCCGGAACACCUAUUGCGAAGGCAGCAGGCUAAGCGAAGAUUGACGCUGAGGCUCGAAAGCGUGGGGAUCAAACAGG